AGAAUCAACGCUGGCGGCGUGCCUAACACAUGCAAGUCGCACGAGAAGGGGGAGCAAUCCCUGAGUAAAGUGGCGCACGGGUGAGUAACACGUGAAUUAUCUACCUCCGAGUGGGGAAUAACCAAAAGAAAUUUUGGCUAAUACCGCAUAACACUUACGAGUCAAAGCAGCAAUGCGCUUGGAGAGGAGUUCGCGGCAGAUUAGCUAGUUGGCGGGGUAAUGGCCCACCAAGGCGAUGAUCUGUA
rnacentral:rRNA from 1 species